rnacentral:rRNA from 1 species
ACUCUUGGACAGCCUUCUGAAAGGAAGAUUAAUACAAGAUGGCAUCAUGAGUUCACAUGUUCACAUGAUUAAAGGUAUUCCGGUAGACGAUGGGGAUGCGUUCCAUUAGAUAGUAGGCGGGGUAACGGCCCACCUAGUCUUCGAUGGAUAGGGGUUCUGAGAGGAAGGUCCCCCACAUUGGAACUGAGACACGGUCCAAACUCCUACGGGAGGCAGCAGUGAGGAAUAUUGGUCAAUGGGCGAGAGCCUGAACCAGCCAAGUAGCGUGAAGGAUGACUGCCCUAUGGGUUGUAAACUUCUUUUAUAAAGGAAUAAAGUCGGGUAUGGAUACCCGUUUGCAUGUACUUUAUGAAUAAGGAUCGGCUAACUCCGUGCCAGCAGCCGCGGUAAUACGGAGGAUCCGAGCGUUAUCCGGAUUUAUUGGGUUUAAAGGGAGCGUAGAUGGAUGUUUAAGUCAGUUGUGAAAGUUUGCGGCUCAACCGUAAAAUUGCAGUUGAUACUGGAUAUCUUGAGUGCAGUUGAGGCAGGCGGAAUUCGUGGUGUAGCGGUGAAAUGCUUAGAUAUCACGAAGAACUCCGAUUGCGAAGGCAGCCUGCUAAGCUGCAACUGACAUUGAGGCUCGAAAGUGUGGGUAUCAAACAGGAUUAGAUACCCUGGUAGUCCACACGGUAAACGA